rnacentral:rRNA from 1 species
AACAAACGCUGGCGGCGUGCCUAAUACAUGCAAGUCGAACGGGGUAGCAAUACCUAGUGGCGCACGGGUGAGUAACGCGUGGAUAAUCUGCCUUAGAGUGGGGGAUAACUAGUCGAAAGAUUAGCUAAUACCGCAUAAGACCACAAGAACUGCGGUUCAAGGGGUCAAAGGUUUUUCGCUCUAAGAUGAGUCCGCGUAAGAUUAGCUAGUUGGUGAGGUAAUGGCUCACCAAGGCGACGAUCUUUAACUGGUCUGAGAGGAUGAUCAGUCACACUGGAACUGAGACACGGUACAGACUCCUACGGUAGGCAGCAGUAGGGAAUACUGCAGAAAGGAGGAAACUCUUAUGCAGCGACGCCGCGUGAGUGAUGAAGGCCUUCGGGUCGUAAAGCUCUGUCGCAGGGGAAUAACACAAUGAGUGUACCCUGUAAGAAAGGAUCGGCUAACUUCGUGCCAGCCGCCGCGGUAAAAC